UUUAAUAUGUUGUGUGAUGUGGUGAAUCAACUGGAGAUGGAGAUAAGUGAUCCUCUCAACUCAGAUGUCCAUAAGCAGUUAAAUGAUCCAGAAAAUUGGAUGGACCGUAUCAACGGAGAAAUUUUUAACAAUUUUAAUGACUUUGACCCUACAUGGUUAGGCUGCUUAAAAUUUUUACAAAACGUUCGCGAGCAGUGGCAAGAUGAACAUCAUCCACAACUGCCGCCAAGUGAGGGCAACUAUAAAAAGUAUUUCCUGCAAGUUUUGCCGGAGCUUCCUCUUCUGGUGCACAGAAUCAUAAGGUAUAUCUAAGCGAAAUCCACUCUAGAUCUGGAAGAACAAUUUGCUAUAAACGAUGAAAGAAGUUUGGGUGAACUUCCAAAAACAGGAAAGAAAAUGCAAAUACCAUUUAUAAGACAGCUUUUCAUUCGAAGAACUAAACCCAAAGGAAAAGGAAAGAGGACGACGAAAACAUUACCCAGAUUGCAUUACGUGGAAGAAGAUUCUCGAAGAUUAUCAAUCAAUCAAUUAAACUGUGGGAUUUAUCGCGAGCUAUGUAGUAAACUAAACGAUGAGUUGUAUCGCAUGGAUUGGAAAACACUAGCUGGAAAAAUGAAUUUCACAGCUGGUGAGGUUAGAGACUUCUCAAGAGAACCGAAUCCUGCUGAUGUGUUGCUUCAACACUGGAAGACGACAAGCAUUAACCACGAUGUUCCUGCUUUGAUCAAAUUGUUGAAGGAAAUGGAGAUAAACGAUCUAGUGGAUUUACUGGAAUCAAACCAAGAUGAUUAUCAGAAUACUUUUACCAGCAUUGCAACAUUGCUUAAGGGUCAAAAAGAUGAGAGCAGAUGACACGCGUAAUAUCAUUUACCAUUUGAACAUUUACCAGGUAGAAUUCGAUUAGAAUGAUAAUAGGAAAAUAAAAAUAGACAAAUUCUCGGUAUCGCUAGUAUCGAAUG